rnacentral:tRNA from 1 species
AUCUAAAUAGUUUAAGGGUAAAAUGUUGGUUUGUGGUGCCAGUGAUAUAGGUUUUAUUUUAGAUU